CAUUAAUUAAACGCGAAUUGUCGGGUGUCCACCACCCCUUCUGGGGGUGGAGCGCUGGUCCCGACGUCCUUUUGAUUAUAUCCCAUCUGUGAACUUUCCCACUGUUGCUUCCGUGAGCCUGUGCUUCCCGUUCUCUCGGAGAGUGGGAGCACCUGAAAAGCCCUGGUUCCGCCCGGGGCGCACGGCAAUGGUAUUACAACUCUAGUUUUAUGUCCUUCUCGUCUGAGUGGUUAACACACAAACAAGUUAAAACUUUCAACAACGGAUCUCUUGGUUCUCGCAUCGAUGAAGAACGCAGCGAAAUGCGAUAAGUAGUGUGAAUUGCAGAAUUCAGUGAAUCAUCGAAUCUUUGAACGCACAUUGCGCCUCCUGGUAUUCCGGGAGGCAUGCCUGUUCGAGCGUCAUAAAACUCAUCCUCAAGCAACUUUGCUUGGUUGUGGAGGAAGAUAGUCUAUGGACCAUCUCCUCUGGAAUCCCUCAGCAGAGACCACAGCAGCCUCAGGUGUGAUAAUACUACCUCGCUUGAGAGUUAUUGUGGGCUCCCGCUGGAGACCAGCCCCCAGCUAUUACCAAGUUUGACCUCGGAUCAGGUAGGGAUACCCGCUGAACUUAA
rnacentral:rRNA from 1 species